rnacentral:lncRNA from 1 species
CAGAAGCCCUCCAUCAAGCACACAGAGGGAAGCGUGGCAUUUAAACAUUAUGAGGACAUAGAGAGGGAAACCCAGGGCAGACAGAAAUGACGGAUCCAUGUUUGUGUUAUGGUAGGUUGAGGAAGGACACCAAUUCAGCCUGAGAAGAUUAUAGAGAGGAGGAAGACAGUCAUUAUGCAGUUUUCCAAAGUGGUUGUGCUUGGAUUGCUACAUUUACAUUGCUUUGACUCCAAUCAGCUCAGCUGGAUACUGCAACGUGUGAACAUGCAACAGGUCACAAAACCGCAACCAUGA